rnacentral:rRNA from 1 species
AUAAAAAAAAUAAUUUAUAAAAUUAGUUAAAGUAAUUUUCUAAAAAAUUAUUAUAUUUAAAGUACUGAAAAGGAAUAAAAAUAAAUUUUAUAGCAAAUAUAAAGUAUUGUACCUUGUGUAUCAGGGUUUAUCUAAUUAAAAAAAUAAUUUAUAAUCUCGAUUUUAUAUGAUUUAAUAAAGAUUUAUUCUUUUUAUAGCAAUAAAAUACUUAAAUCUUUAAUAGGAGUAAAAUGCUAACGAAUAUAAAGAUAUCUAGUUUUUUUAGAAACAAAUUUAAUUUGACUUCAAUAAGAAAAAUUUAAAUAAAUAAAAUUAUUUUUAUUGAAAUUAAUAUCUUGAAGGAUUAGCUUCAAAAUAAAAAAUAAAUAUAAAUCCUUAUUUUUUUACAUAGGAAUCAAAUUACCCUAAAAAUUUAAUAAUUUAACUAUUAACAAAAAAAUUUUAUUUAUAUUUAAUUUUAUAAAAAAAUAUUUUAAUAAAUAAAAAAUUAAAAAAAAUAAUGAUAAAAUUAAUAAACAAAGAAAAAUUUAUUUAAAUAACUCGGCAAAUAUUUUAUCCGCCUGUUUAACAAAAACAUGUCCUCUUGAUUUUUAUAUGAGGUCCAACCUGCUCAAUGAAAAAUUAAAUAGCCGCAAUUCGCGCUAAGGUAGCAUAAUCACUUGUCUUUUAAUUGAAGGCUAGUAUGAAUGGUUAGACGAGAUAAAAUCUUUUUCUAAAAAAACUAAAGUUUAACUUAACAUUUAAGUCAAAAGGCUUAAAUAAAAUUGAUGGACGAGAAGACCCUAUAGAGCUUAAAAAAAUUAAAAUAAAUACAUUUAGAAAAAAUCAGAUUAAAUUUAUAGUUUUUAUUAGCUGGGAUAGCAAAAAUAUAAAUUCAAUUAUUUUUAUAAAAACCACUAAUUAGUGAACAAAUGAUCCAUUUAAAUGAUUAAAAGAAAAAGUUACCUUAGGGAUAACAGCGUUAUGUUUUCAGAGAGACCAAAUCAACGAAAAAUAUUGCGACCUCGAUGUUGGAUUAAGAUAAAUCUUUAGAGAAGAAGCUAAAGAAAAAGGUCUGUUCGACCAUUAAAAUCUUACAUGAUCUGAGUUCAAACCGGCGUAAGCCAGGUUGGUUUCUAUCCUCAAUAAACAAAUUUGUUAUAGUACGAAAGGACCUAACAAA